rnacentral:rRNA from 1 species
AGUUGUAUCCUGGCUCAGGAUGAACGCUGGCGGUAUGCUUAACACAUGCAAGUCGAACGAAAGUUUUUAACUUUAGUGGCGAACGGGUGCGUAAUACGUGAGAAUCUGCCCUUAGGAGAAGAAUAACUGCUGGAAACGGCUGCUAAAUCUUCAUAUGUCGAGAGAUGAAAUAGCUUAGGCUGCCUAAGGAUGAGCUCACGCCUGAUUAGCUAGUUGGUGAGGUAAUGGCUCACCAAGGCCACGAUCAGUAGCUGGUUUGAGAGAACGAUCAGCCACACUGGGACUGAGACACGGCCCAGACUCCUCCGGGAGGCAGCAGUGAGGAAUUUUCCGCAAUGGGCGAAAGCCUGACGGAGCAAUACCGCGUGAGGGAUGAAGGAUUUUGGUCUGUAAACCUCUUUUCUCAAGAAAGAAGUUCUGACGGUACUUGAGGAAUAAGCAUCGGCUAACUCCGUGCCAGCAGCCGCGGUAAUACGGGGGAUGCAAGCGUUAUCCGGAAUCAUUGGGCGUAAAGCGCCUGUAGGUUGUUUAAUAAGUCUGUUGUUAAAGACUAGGGCUUAACCCUAGAAAAGCAAUGGAAACUACUAGACUAGAGUAUGGCAGGGGUAGAGGGAAUUUCUAGUGUAGCGGUGAAAUGCGUAGAUAUUAGAAAGAACACCGGUGGCGAAAGCGCUCUACUGGACCAUUACUGACACUCAGAGGCGAAAGCUAGGGUAGCAAAAGGGAUUAGAUACCCCUGUAGUCCUAGCCGUAAACGAUGGAUACUACAUGUUGUGCAUUAUGUACAGUAUGGUAGCUAACGC